rnacentral:lncRNA from 1 species
UUUGAGUUGUUUUUGGGGAAGAGAAACAUCAAAUAACCCUUUAAUAAAAUAUUGUUUGAUAUUCAUUUUGUCACAGAUUUAAUAACUGUGGACUCUCAGAGACUCACUGUGAAGUUGUGGCCUCAGCUCUGAAGUCCAACCCCUCCCAUCUGAGACAUCUGAACCUGAGAAACAACAGACUGCAGGAUUCAGGAGUGAAGCUUCUCUCUGCAGGACUGGAGAGUCCAAACUGCAGACUGGAGACUCUGAGGUGAGACACCAUUUCCUUCCGAUCUAACAAUAAGAUGUGACAGCUGCUGCCUUAGAUUUUUCUCUGUGGUUUUUCCAUCAACUUUGGUCGAGCAGUUUGAAUUUGUCGUUGUAAAACUUCAACACAGGAAGAAAAAUCCGACAUUUCAGAGUCGACUUUGAGUAGAACGAUGGAUGUAGAAAGGAAGCAGGAGAAAAUCAGUCCCACAAAUAUUAUACAUGCUUGUAGAGGGCAGGAGCAGCACAGACUAAAGGCUGAUAUUGAACUGAUCCACAGUUAAUGUGAUCACUAAUGAAUGAAUGAAGUGUCAGAGAAAUGAUGAGCUGCAGAUUGAAACCUGAAGAACAAAGUUAAUCCAACUCUGGAUAUUUCAUUUGGAAACUCUUGAAAACUUGAAUUUCUUCUUUGCUCAGUCGUGUUCAAAUGUAAAAACCAGAUCCAGAUUUUUCUGCAGUUUUCACUUCAGUUUGUUGAACAUGAACAUCAUCUUGUCCAGCUGGUCCAUAAAAACCUCUCUGAUCAAUGAUCUGUUGGUUUAUUUAAGAGUAGUUUGUCAGUUGUUGACAGCAGACGGACAGACCCCUGAAUAAACUCCUGACUGUUUUCAUCUUCAUGAAGAAUUCAGGACUACAAAAGAACCUUUGAGAUUUCUCACAGGAGUUUCUCAGGAUCUCACUAAAGUUUUCUGUUUCUGUAAAAUUUUCUCGACUGAUAAAUUCCUCUGGAUCUUCAAAAAGUUUAGAGAGGAUUUUACAAAGUUCCUGAAGAUCAACUCUGAAAAAGUUCUUCUUCCGUGUCCUUCAGGGUUCAAGAACAUUGAAUCAUUAAAAACAGGAACAGUUUCUUCAGAGGUUACAUGAUUUUUUUCUUUUUUCAGACUGUGACAGGUGUUUAUUAGUCUUUUUGACUCAUUACAAUAAUGAGGAUAAAGUCAUGGACUAAACUUGGGCUCCCAGUUUCCUUGUUGUUGUUUCUUCAGCUAGCAUCAUUGUUUUCAUCUCAGUUAUUAAAGUAAUAAUGAUGCUUCAUAAAUUCAGAGUCACAAAAAAACACCAAACAAACCAAAUCUGAAAAAAAUUCACUUUUUCAUCAAAUGAGUUUAAUCGGUCAGAACAUGAGGUUUGAGUUUUCAUGAGGAGGAAACGAGAAAGAUCUGCUCUGACAGUUAGAAACACAGACACCUGAAUUUACACUGACAGACAGAGAGACACAGACAGAGACACAGACAGACACAGACAGAGACACACAAACACAGACUAACAGAGAUGUUCCUCUUCGUCUCUUUGCUGUGAUGACUGAAGUCACAAAAACAAAGUUUUCUUCGUCACUUUUAUGAUUGAACCAAAGAAGUUAAAGAACCAAACUCUCAGAUUUUGUUCUUCUCAAUUUUAUUUGAACCAUUUAGAUUUUUCUCCUGAUCAAUAUUCAAUGAUCAGAUUGAUCAGGUUCCUGUUUUGGCUCCACUGCCUCUUUUCUGCAGCUCAAUAACUGCUCAUAUGGUUUGAAAGGUUCCUGCAGUAAAACCCGAUUAGAGAGUGGACUAAAUGAAAUGUGAGUGAACUCAGCCAUCAGUGAAUCAAUGACAAAGUGAGAGGAAGAGUGGAUCUGUCUGCUGUCUGACCUUGUUGAUCCUGAUGAAGGUGAGGGAGAAGAGUAAAGCAGUAAAGGUGAUGUUGUUGCAGACAGAGUCAGCUGACCUGUCUCAUCAGAGUCUCAUCCAUUCUCUGUUUGGCAGAGCACUGAUGUUAGAGUCUGAGAGCACAUUCAGGUUCAGCUUCACAUGGGCUGGAUCUGCUCAAUACAAACUCUUGAGACCAGCCUGGUUGAGGGAGGUGGGCUCAGUGUCCUGGGUGACUCUCUCUGAGCUCUUCUUGGUUGAGAGUAUUUCUGGUUUGUCUCUGACUUCCAUGAACUCAGAUCUGGAGGAUUGCUGGCUGGUCCGGUCCAGUUCUGACAGUAGAGACAACACAGUCUGUUAUUCUGGGUUGAGUGUUCUUGUUGAAGAUCAGUGUACAGUGAGGGAUGAAGGCAGACAAAGAUCCUCCUGUUUCCUCCAUGUCACAGUUCAAGUUCAUUUUGAAGACUUUGAUUGAUCCGAGCGCUGAAGAGGAACAGGAAACGAGGAGUAGAGAGUGAGGGAGGACUUACAGCAAAGGAUCAUGGGAGUCCAACCAGCAACUGCUGCAACAAGGACUCCACCUUCUGAUCACAUGAACCUCUAAUCCAAACCAGUGCUCCAUCACAUUUGAUGUCUUGUCUGUUAUUUUACAUGGAGGGUCAGAGCAGACCAGAUCAUGAGCUCUGACAGACUGGAUCUGGUCCAAAGGUCUCCUGUUGGAGUUCUCUAAGCUCCAUAUUUUAAACCUGAACACCUGAAGUUUGAUUAUUAAUUAUUUUUAUCUUCAUUCUCUUUCCUUUUUUCAGAUUGUAUAAAUGCAGUUUGUCAGAGAUCAGCUGUUCUUCUCUGGCCUCAGCUCUGAAGUCCAACCCCUCCCAUCUGAGAUAUCUGGACCUGAGUCACAACAAGCUGCAGGAUUCAGGAGUGAAGCUUCUCUCUGCAGGACUGGAGAGUCCAAACUGUAAACUGGAGACUCUGAGGUGAGACACCAUUUCCUUCUGAUCUAACAAUAAGAUGUGACAGCUGCUGCCUUAGAUUUUUCUCUGUGGUUUUUCCAUCAACUUUGGUCGAGCAGUUUGAAUUUGUCGUUGUAAAACUUCAACACAGGAAGAAAAAUCCGACAUUUCAGAGUCGACUUUGAGUAGAACGAUGGAUGUAGAAAGGAAGCAGGAGAAAAUCAGUCCCACAAAUAUUACACAUGCUUGUAGAGGGCAGGAGCAGCACAGACUAAAGGCUGAUACUGAACUGAUCCACAGUUAAUGUGAUCACUAAUGAAUGAAGUGUCAGAGAAAUGAUGAGCUGCAGAUUGAAACCUGAAGAACAAAGUUAAUCCAACUCUGGAUAUUUCAUUUGGAAACUCUUGAAAACUUGAAUUUCUUCUUUGCUCAGUCGUGUUCAAAUGUAAAAACCAGAUCCAGAUUUGUCUGCAGUUUUCACUUCAGUUUGUUGAACAUGAACAUCAUCUUGUCCAGCUGGUCCAUAAAAACCUCUCUGAUCAAUGAUCUGUUGGUUUAUUUAAGAGUAGUUUGGCAGUUGUUGACAGCAGACGGACAGACCCCUGAAUAAACUCCUGACUAUUUUCAUCUUCAUGAAGAAUUCAGGACUACAAAAGAACCUUUGAGAUUUCUCACAGGAGUUUCUCAGGAUCUCACUAAAGUUUUCUGUUUCUGUAAAAUUUUCUCGACUGAUAAAUUCCUCUGGAUCUUCAAAAAGUUUAGAGAGGAUUUUACAAAGUUCCUGAAGAUCAACUCUGAAAAAGUUCUUCUUCCGUGUCCUUCAGGGUUCAAGAACAUUGAAUCAUUAAAAACAGGAACAGUUUCUUCAGAGGUUACAUGAUUUUUUUCUUUUUUCAGACUGUGACAGGUGUUUAUUAGUCUUUUUGACUCAUUACAAUAAUGAGGAUAAAGUCAUGGACUAAACUUGGGCUCCCAGUUUCCUUGUUGUUGUUUCUUCAGCUAGCAUCAUUGUUUUCAUCUCAGUUAUUAAAGUAAUAAUGAUGCUUCAUAAAUUCAGAGUCACAAAAAAACACCAAACAAACCAAAUCUGAAAAAAAUUCACUUCUUCAUCAAAUGAGUUUAAUCGGUCAGAACAUGAGGUUUGAGUUUUCAUGAGGAGGAAACGAGAAAGAUCUGCUCUGACAGUGAGAAACACAGACGCCUGAAUCUACACUGACAGACAGACAAACACAGACAGAGAGACAGACACACAAACACAGACACACAGAGAUUUUCCUCUUUGUCUCUUUGCUGUGAUGACUGAAGUCACAAAAACAAAGUUUUCUUCGUCACUUUUAUGAUUGAACCAAAGAAGUUAAAGAACCAAACUCUCAGAUUUUGUUCUUCUCAAUUUUAUUUGAACCAUUUAGAUUUUUCUCCUGAUCAAUAUUCAAUGAUCAGAUUGAUCAGGUUCCUGUUUUGGCUCCACUGCCUCUUUUCUGCAGCUCAAUAACUGCUCAUAUGGUUUGAAAGGUUCCUGCAGUAAAACCCGAUUAGAGAGUGGACUAAAUGAAAUGUGAGUGAACUCAGCCAUCAGUGAAUCAAUGACAAAGUGAGAGGAAGAGUGGAUCUGUCUGCUGUCUGACCUUGUUGAUCCUGAUGAAGGUGAGGGAGAAGAGUAAAGCAGUAAAGGUGAUGUUGUUGCAGACAGAGUCAGCUGACCUGUCUCAUCAGAGUCUCAUCCAUUCUCUGUUUAGCAGAGCGCUGAUGUUACAGUCUGAGAGCACAUUCAGGUUCAGCUUCACAUGGGCUGGAUCUGCUCAAUACAAACUCUUGAGACCAGCCUGGUUGAGGGAGGUGGGCUCAGUGUCCUGGGUGACUCUCUCUGAGCUCUUCUUGGUUGAGAGUCUUUCUGGUUUGUCUCUGACUUCCAUGAACUCAGAUCUGGAGGAUUGCUGGCUGGUCCGGUCCAGUUCUGACAGUAGAGACAACACAGUCAGUUAUUCUGGGUUGAGUGUUCUUGUUGAAGAUCAGUGUACAGUGAGGGAUGAAGGCAGACAAAGAUCCUCCUGUUUCCUCCAUGUCACAGUUCAAGUUCAUUUUGAAGACUUUGAUUGAUCCGAGCGCUGAAGAGGAACAGGAAACGAGGAGUAGAGAGUGAGGGAGGACUUACAGCAAAGGAUCAUGGGAGUCCAACCAGAAACUGCUGCAACAAGGACUCCACCUUCUGAUCACCUGAACCUCUAAUCCAAACCAGUGCUCCAUCACAUUUGAUGUCUUGUCUGUUAUUUUACAUGGAGGGUCAGAGCAGACCAGAUCAUGAGCUCUGACAGACUGGAUCUGGUCCAAAGGUCUCCUGUUGGAGUUCUCGAAGCUCCAUAUUUUAAUCCUGAACACCUGAAGUUUGAUUAUUAAUUAUUUUUAUCUUCAUUCUCUUUCCUUUUUUCAGAUUGUAUAAAUGCAGUUUGUCAGAGAUCAGCUGUUCUUCUCUGGCCUCAGCUCUGAAGUCCAACCCCUCCCAUCUGAGACAUCUGAACCUGAGAAACAACACUCUGCAGGAUUCAGGAGUGAAGCUUCUCUCUGCAGGACUGCAGAGACCAAACUGCAGACUGGAGACUCUGAAGUGAGACACCAUUUCCUUCUGAUCUAACAAUAAGAUGUGACAGCUGCUGCCUUAGAUUUUUCUCUGUGGUUUUUCCAUCAACUUUGGUCGAGCAGUUUGAAUUUGUCGUUGUAAAACUUCAACACAGGAAGAAAAAUCCGACAUUUCAGAGUUGACUUUGAGGAGAACGAUGGAUGUAGAAAGGAAGCAGGAGAAAAUCAGUCCCACAAAUAUUACACAUGCUUGUAGAGGGCAGGAGCAGCACAGACUAAAGGCUGAUAUUGAACUGAUCCACAGUUAAUGUGAUCACUAAUGAAUGAAGUGUCAGAGAAAUGAUGAGCUGCAGAUUGAAACCUGAAGAACAAAGUUAAUCCAACUCUGGAUAUUUCAUUUGGAAACUCUUGAAAACUUGAAUUUCUUCUUUGCUCAGUCGUGUUCAAAUGUAAAAACCAGAUCCAGAUUUGUCUGCAGUUUUCACUUCAGUUUGUUGAACAUUAACAUCAUCUUGUCCAGUUGGUCCAUAAAAACCUCUCUGAUCAAUGAUCUGUUGGUUUAUUUAAGAGUAGUUUGGCAGUUGUUGACAGCAGACGGACAGACCCCUGAAUAAACUCCUGACUGUUUUCAUCUUCAUGAAGAAUUCAGGACUACAAAAGAACCUUUGAGAUUUCUCACAGGAGUUUCUCAGGAUCUCACUAAAGUUUUCUGUUUCUUUAAAAUUUUCUCGACUGAUAAAUUCCUCUGGAUCUUCAAAAAGUUUAGAGAGGAUUUUACAAAGUUCCUGAAGAUCAACUCUGAAAAAGUUCUUCUUCCGUGUCCUUCAGGGUUCAAGAACAUUGAAUCAUUAAAAACAGGAACAGUUUCUUCAGAGGUUACAUGAUUUUUUUCUUUUUUCAGACUGUGACAGGUGUUUAUUAGUCUUUUUGACUCAUUACAAUAAUGAGGAUAAAGUCAUGGACUAAACUUGGGCUCCCAGUUUCCUUGUUGUUGUUUCUUCAGCUAGCAUCAUUGUUUUCAUCUCAGUUAUUAAAGUAAUAAUGAUGCUUCAUAAAUUCAGAGUCACAAAAAAACACCAAACAAACCAAAUCUGAAAAAAAUUCACUUUUUCAUCAAAUGAGUUGAAUCGGUCAGAACAUGAGGUUUGAGUUUUCAUGAGGAGGAAACGAGAAAGAUCUGCUCUGACAGUUAGAAACACAGACGCCUGAAUCUACACUGACAGACAGACAAACACAGACAGAGAGACAGACACACAAACACAGACACACAGAGAUUUUCCUCUUUGUCUCUUUGCUGUGAUGACUGAAGUCACAAAAACAAAGUUGUAUUCGUCACUUUUAUGAUUGAACCAAAUAAGUUAAAGAACCAAACUCAUAGAUUUUCUUCUUCUCAAUAUUAUUUGAACCAUUUUGAUUUUUCUUCUGAUCAAUAUUCAAUGAUCAGAUUGAUCAGGUUCCUGUUUUGGCUCCACUGCCUCUUUUCUGCAGCUCAAUAACUGCUCAUAUGGUUUGAAAGGUUCCUGCAGUAAAACCCGAUUAGAGAGUGGACUAAAUGAAAUGUGAGUGAACUCAGCCAUCAGUGAAUCAAUGACAAAGUGAGAGUAAGAGUGGAUCUGUCUGCUGUCUGACCUUGUUGAGCCUGAUGAAGGUGAGGGAGAAGAGUAAAGCAGUAAAGGUGAUGUUGUUGCAGACAGAGUCAGCUGACCUGUCUCAUCAGAGUCUCAUCCAUUCUCUGUUUGGCAGAGCACUGAUGUUAGAGUCUGAGAGCACAUUCAGGUUCAGCUUCACAUGGGCUGGAUCUGCUCAAUACAAACUCUUGAGACCAGCCUGGUUGAGGGAGGUGGGCUCAGUGUCCUGGGUGACUCUCUCUGAGCUCUUCUUGGUUGAGAGUCUUUCUGGUUUGUCUCUGACUUCCAUGAACUCAGAUCUGGAGGAUUGCUGGCUGGUCCGGUCCAGUUCUGACAGUAGAGACAACACAGUCAGUUAUUCUGGGUUGAGUGUUCUUGUUGAAGAUCAGUGUACAGUGAGGGAUGAAGGCAGACAAAGAUCCUCCUGUUUCCUCCAUGUCACACUUCAAGUUCAUUUUGAAGACUUUGAUUGAUCCGAGCGCUGAAGAGGAACAGGAAACGUGGAGUAGAGAGUGAGGGAGGACUUACAGCAAAGGAUCAUGGGAGUCCAACCAGCAACUGCUGCAACAAGGACUCCACCUUCUGAACACCUGAACCUCUAAUCCAAACCAGUGCUCCAUCACAUUUGAUGUCUUGUCUGUUAUUUUACAUGGAGGGUCAGAGCAGACCAGAUAAUGAGCUCUGACAGACUGGAUCUGGUCCAAAGGUCUCCUGUUGGAGUUCUCUAAGCUCCAUAUUUUAAACCUGAACACGUGAAGUUUGAUUAUUAAUUAUUUUUAUCUUCAUUCUCUUUCCUUUUUUCAGACUGAGGAGCUGCAGUUUGUCAGAGAUCAGCUGUUCUUCUCUGGCCUCAGCUCUGAAGUCCAACCCCGACCAUCUGAAACAUCUGGACCUGAGCAGAAACAAUCUGCAGGAUUCAGGAGUGAAGCUGCUGUGUGACUCUCUGCAGAGUCCAAACUGUAAACUGGAGACUCUAGAGUGAGACUUUUUUCCUCCAUUCAAACAUGAUCAUGAUUUGUUUGUGAUGAUGACACUAAACUGCUGACUCAGGACUGAAACACUGACCCAGACUGAACACCUUCAGUCCAGAGUAGAUUUUCUGCUUCAGUGGAUUAUUUGAUUGACUCCAGUUAGAUCACUGCUGAGCUCCAGUGAAUUAAAACCUGAACCCAAGAAGAAAACUCUUUGUAGAGUUCACAGUGAGAAGCACAUUCAGACAGAAAACAGAAGCAGGGGGAGAUUUGUCAGACGAGAACCAUUCAAACUUUAGUUCAGGACAAGAAAUGGAAAAAACUCAGAGUUUAGUUUCUGACUCUGAUGAAAGUCCAGCUCUGUUACUUUGAAUUUUGUUUUUGAAUCUUUGUGUGAAAAUCUGAAUUUUCUGGUUUAUCUGCACUUUUCUGAAGCCUUGCUGUGUUUAGACUGAAAUAUUUACCUCUCAAAGACGUGAUAUUUUUGGUUCAGCAAAGUGAAAAUAUUCUGAACAUCCUUUGUUUCCCAUCCGUCCUGAAGUCGCUGACAUUUUCUGAAAAUAUUGAGCUGCAUCUACAAUCAGUAAAAAAGUCUCUGAGUUUUUUAUUUCACUAUUUAAUGUGUUUUUGAAUUCAGUGUUUCAAACUGACUUCCUGUUUGGUUCAGCUCUUUGGAGCGUCACUUUUCUUUGAUUCAUACUUUCCAAACCUUUCCCCUGAACUCUACAGAUUUAAGACAUCAGGUUUCAAACUGGAUCAUUUUUCUCUAAAAUCUCAUUAUUUCCUCUUUAUUUAGGUUGUGGCGCUGCAGUUUGACGAAGAUCAGCUGUUCUUCUCUGGCCUCAGCUCUGAAGUCCAACCCCUCCCAUCUGAAAACUCUGUGGCUGUAUGGAAACAAUCUGCAGGGUUCAGACGUGGAGCUGCUGUGUGAUCUUCAGAAGAGUCCAGACUACAGACUGGAGGAUCUGGAGUCAGUAUAGAGUUGGAGUUAGUCUGUGCUGAUCUCUCCUGUUCCUCUCCACACAGUAUCACAGCAGAUAUUCAGUAUUUCCUGCUGACUCUUCGACCCUCUCAGAGGAUUAUCUCUUUAGUGAAGCUGUGAGAACAGAAAUCAUCAAACCAGGAGUGUAAGAGUGUCAGUGAUGAAAAAAGUGUCUCCUCGUCUCUAUAUUUCAGAUCAAAUGUAGAAAUGAGACAUAAUGAAACAGAAAUGUUCAGUUUCUGCUCUGAAGUCCAGUUUAUAGUUCUCUGUAUUCAACACAGACUUUAUUUCUCUGCUAACUUGUUGAUUUUGAGCUCUAAGUCUGAAAACAGACAGCUGUUCUUUAUACUUGUUAUUUUCACAGCAGGUUUGUUCGAUCAGCUUUAACACAUUUGACAGGAAUGAUUUCUUUAUUUUGAUGAUGUUGGUUUAUUUGUGAGGAAACCUGCUGCUUUACACCAUCACUUCUGGUCUGAGCAGGACUGAGACCUGCUGGUCUGUAAACUGGAUGUUCUUCAGUCCAGCUGAUGAAGUGAGUCUCAGAGUGGAAACACUGAACGUCUUUUUUUCUCUCCUCAGAUGGAGUUAACAUCUGUCAGAGUGAAUAAGAAGAGGAUCGUGUGUUUCCUGACGAUCAGAGAGGUGGAGGCAGCAGCAGUGAGGGUGAGGUGAGUCUCUGACUGAGAGACUGACUGACCAAUCACAGCGGGCGGAGAGGACUCUGGGAGCUGCACUUUGACCUGCUCUGAGAUCAGCUCAGGACCUGGACUCUGGAUAUUUGAUAUUUUCCCUCAUACUCUGGGAUCAAACAGUCUGAACAGGUUUGUUUUGUUGAUGGAAACAUGAUCAUAAAUUUACACUUUGAUUGGAUUACUUUGUUUUCACCAUGAUGCAGCGCCACCCAGUGGAAAUAUAAAGAGGUGGAGUUGAUUUAUUCCCUCAUAUUUCUGCAGCAGGAGUUGAUACCAUGUGUGAGAGUAGAUCAGUCAGAAGUUCAGAUUAAACCCAAAGGUUUUUUCUUUCCUUUGCACCGUUAGAGACCGAAUAUAAACUGAAGGGAGAGGAAGAGAAGUGAGGAGAGAUGGAGGUGAAGGGAGGAGGAGGAGGACAGGGUUUGGGGUUUUAACAAAAAUCUGAAGCUUUAUUCUUUCACUUGAUUAUUUUUAUUCAUCCGUUUUCUUCUUCAUUUUCUGAACUGAUUGUAAAUAUUGACUGGAGGUAAAUUGACCUUAUUUUAUAUUAUUAGACAUUAUUUUCCGUCUCUUUACAUGUUUUUGUUCUCAUAUCAUCUUUGUGCUCAUCAAUAAUCGAUUCCCUCCAGUUUGAACAAAUACAAUUAUUAAACCAUAAAUGAGACCUGAGAGUAAAAUUAAAAUGUGUGAAAUAUAAUCAGUCAAAGGAAAGAUUCUUAAACAAAAACAAAAUCAUUAUUUUUACUUUAUUAUGAUGGAGAAGUUUUCCUCUGACAGACAAAAAUAACCAUAUUGACCGGAGUCUGGAAAAAGUGAGAUCAGCAUCUAUUCAGGGUGAAGUCAUUAAUGUGGUCGAUGCUGUUUUAUAAACUCAGUGUUGUUGAUUACAAUCUCAGCUUCAUAAACUGAUGCUACAGUGGAGUGACUUCCUGUAAAAUCCACUGGCUUUGUGAGACCGUCAGCUUUCAGGAGAUCAGUUUGUGUUUCUGUGACACUCCAAAGCUUUUCUAUCCCACAGAAAAGAUCGGUGUGUUUUCAGAGACCUUCCUGAUCCCAUCCCUCCAAAAUAAAAAUAAUCUGAUGGUUUAUGGAUUCAUUUCAGUAACAAAGUGUCAUUUCUGUUGUUAGCCAAUCAGAGGCUGUAUCUGCCAUCAGCUGACCUGUAAAGGUCCAAUCAGAAGUCAGGACAGCUCAUGCCACAGUCUGAUCACACUACAGACACAUAAAACAUAGAACUAUUGUAAACAGAUUUGUCCUCUUCAGUUUAUCUACUAUCAAUAGAUCUGUGCUCUGUCUGUGUAACACUCUGUUGGUUCUUCAUUUACACCAGAUCAUUUUUUAUUUCAUUUCACUGUAACAAUGCCAUUUAAAGAUAAUAAAAACUUUAUUUGAACCAAAACAUGUUAAAAACGUCAACUCGGCUCGUUUCAUUCACUGUGUGCAAUUGAUUAUUAUUAUUUUUCAUUCAAACAGAAACUAGAUUUGGUCUUUAAAAAGUCCUCAAAGUGAGUCUGAAAAGUAGAGGAAGGUUUUAUCAUCAGGGUGCAGCACAGUUGUUUCCUGUGUUUUCAUUUGUGAUAUUCUCUCUAAGGUGUGUUAUUGUUCAUUUAAAGUAUGUGGAGGACAAAUCCACACAUCUAACAAAGAAGGUAAAAUAUAAAGAUAGGAGAUUUCUGCAUGACAUCAACGAUAUCCUGGAUUUAGUUUUCUAAGCAACAGGUGGUCGUCUUUUAUCGGGGGUACUUUGAUCCAGAAAUCUGAAAAGGGGUUACUAAAGCAAAAGAAGAAAAACCAGAGACUGUAUAUAGAAUGGACAGAGUCUGCCUCCUCGCUGGGUGAAGCCACUCUGAGAACAGCACCCUCUGUUGAUGGGCUGCAGUAUAGGUCAUAAAUCCCGCCUGCGCCAGCAAAGCUUAUGGAGCUGUGGACGAACUUUAGAAAUUUAUUACACAGAACAUAAUUUUUUCUCCCUCCUGGUUGUGAUGUUGACAUGUAGUUAUUGUCAGACUGGUUUGUGCUCAAGUCCUCUUUUUUCUGUGAAGCUCCAUUUUUAAAAGUUAUUAGGGGGUUCAUGUUUGCUAUGACGUUUCACAGCCAUAAGGAAUAACCAAUCGGAGCCUAGCACUUCUAGCCAAUCAGAUGCGAAGGAGGGUGGGACCUUCCCCUACCAUCCCACGAAAAAAAAAACCAAACACGUCCGGGUUUGCCGACCUUUAUUUCUGAGCCCCAGAUAACAGGACAGAGAUACCUAAAGCAUACAACGUGAACUUGUGUUAUCACAUCAACAUAUUUGGCUCCUACACUGAAUAUAAUGUUGGACAGUGAUCUUUGUAAAGUGAGGUGAAGGAGGAGUUUGUGUAGUGACAACACAAUCACACUGUGUGCAAAAAUAAAAACCUGUUCAACCAAAUCUUCACAUUUAGUUGGGGUAUGAGAAGAGGAGUGCUCAUCUGAAGUUUGUUGGUUUGACCAGCAGGUGGAGCUGCUGCAUUAACAAUAAACUGAGACUCAACCAAACAAACAAGUUCCUGUUUUAGUGAACUUUGAAUUUGGACUCAGGAGAGGAAGAUGGUUGUCAAGAAUACUGAACUUAAAGGAUGAUCAAUAACGGUCAGUAAAUGAGGAGAAGAAUCUGUGAUCUGGUGGUUUAGGUUUCAGUGAAAACAGUCAGAGUGAAAGUGAAAGUAUGUGAGCUGAAAAACAGACUCCAUUUUGAGAAAAGAAGAGAGAGGAGAGGACGAGGAGACAGGGUGAGUGUUUACUCUGUUUUAGUUUUAAUGUCAAACUCUUUAUCUGUUUUAUCUGUUAAUGAAAAAAUGAUUUACUGACUAAAACACUUAAAAACUGUAAAACAAAGAAACCUGAGCAGACAAAGAGCUGGAUCAGUUCUUCAUACAGGAAACUGUGUACGUGCAGUUCUUCCUCCUCUUUGUUUAGACUUGUCUUUUUGGUAAAAAUAUUAAUCAGAAUCUUUUUAGCGUCUCAUUUCAACUUUAAUCCAGUCUCCUUAAGUUUUUAUGAGAGUUCAGGGACCUCACAGCUGAUUUUGUUUUGACCAUGAAUCAGACAAGGAUCAGAGAGAGGCCCUGCAGGGUGGGGAGACAUCAGAAGUUCUUGGAUAUUAAACCUGUAUAACUCUUAAAGAGGGGGAUGAAGCUGUUUUUAGACUCUGUACUUCCUUUCUGAUUCCUCUUUUAUUUCUGAACUCUCUCUUCCUGUUUGUAUCUCACCUGUUUGUCUUCUUUGUCCUCAGGUUGUAUAACUCGGUUUCAGCCUCCAUAAAUUUGCACAACAGAAGAUGGAGAAGAUGAGUGUUGGUGUCGAGGAAGAGGAGGGCAGAGCAGAGUCUGAUAUGUUUGACUGUCUGUCUAUGAAGAGUGACCAGUCUAAAGGUUUUGAUAUAAACUUCAGUAAAGAACCAGGACCCCCAGAGGAGGACAGAACAAAGUCUGUUAUCUCCAGCUGUCUGUCUAUGAAGAGUGACCGGUCUAAAGAUCCUCCACCAAAAUUCAGUGAAGAACCAGGACCCUCAGAUUCACAGUAAGAGAAACACUUUUCAAUCACCAAACUCUCAAACAACAACAAUUGACGUUUCAAAUACAAAACUUUAAAUCCUGACCCCUCUGUUUUCUCCUCUGUUCUCAAAACACUGAUUUUCCUCUUAAACCUGCCAACCUGGAUAAAAUUCAAUUCAAUUCAACUUUAUUUAUAAAGCCCAUUUCAUGUACAAGGCAGACUCAAUGUUCUUCACAACAGGUGUACAUAGUUAAAAACAGUUAUACAAAAAUCAAUUAGAAAUCAAUGUAAGAGUGUAAGUGCAAGUCAACUUCACUGCAUGCACACUUAAACUCGUACAUGCGCACGCACUCACACAUGGACACGUGCACACGUACACACAUACACACACAGUUUAAAAGAAUGCUAUAGAAAUCUGUUUUUAAAGAUGGCUACUGAUGUGUCUAACUGUGUCAGGCAUGGUGUUCCAUUUUUGUGGGGCAUAAACACUCAAAGCUGCCUCCCCUCAUUUGGAUCUGGUGUGAGGGAUGAGUAAGUUGCCACUGCCUGUUGACCGAAGUGUUCUUGCUGAGGUGUAGGUGAUGAGCAUAUCUGUGAUGUACUGAGGUGCAAGGCCAUGUAGUGCUUUGUAAACCAGGAGGAGUAUUUUGAAAUCGAUUCUUGUCCUAACGGGUAACCAAUGUACAGAUUUGAGAACGGGUGUGAUGUGUUGAUAUUUUUUGGUACCAGUGAGAAUACAUGCAGCUGCAUUUUGAAUUAACUGUAACCUCUGAAGACUUGAUUUUGGGAGUCCAGUGAAUAAACCGUUAUCCAGUAGUAAUCCAGUCUACUUCUUAUAAAUGCAUGGAUGAAUUUUUCUAAGUCUGAUUUUGACAGAAAGCCCCUCAAUUUGGAGAUAUUUUUGAGAUGAUAGAAAGAUGAUCUUGAAUUGAAUCUUGUAAUGGAUAAAAGGCUGGUAAAGAAAAACUCACUGAGCACAGAUUUACUUAUUAUUGUUGAUGUUUAUAAAAAUGAAAGUCGUUUAAAACAGCAUUUGAAAAGGAUUCUGACUUCUUGUAUUUUCUGAUUUGGUUCCUGUGUUUGGGACGUUUUGAGCCUGUUAGUCUUUGGACUGUGGUCUGUAGACCCCAGAAAACAGUCUGUGGGUCACAAAAUACCAGAAGACCAAUGAAGAAAUAAAUCCUGAGAAAUAAAAACUCAUUCAGAGCAUCUGUCUGUUAUUAGACCUUUAGAUCUGAUCGGUGGAAAAAAAAGUUUUAAACUGUCAGAGAAAAUCUCUCUACCUUCAAAAUCACUUUAGUUUUUUCUCUUGUCACGACACUUCAGGCAGCAGCAGCUGAAUAUUUUACAGGAGAUUGUUUUAUGUUAGAGAAAAGAGAAACUCUGGUUUAAUAAAUGUUUCUUAUUCUGUAUCUUUCAAACAUGAAAUAAUAAAGAAAAUAAAUGUUCUUUAUUUCCACAGAGAGACACAGAGAUGUGACUCUGUGGAGGAGCAGCUGUCCAGAUGUUCUUUAUGUCAGGACGUCCUGAAGGAUCCAGUCUCUACCCGCUGUGGACACCAGUCUACUUCUUCAGGAUACACCUCCUGUCCCCAGUGUGGAAAAAGAACCAGAACAGUUCUUGUCUUUCAGACAGACAGCCAGUCCAGCUCUGAUCGAAGUAAGUCUGAACACCUUUAAACCCUAAAUUAUACAAUUUCUGCCAGAAUUAUUUUGCUUAUUUUAGCCAUAAAAUUGGCAGAAAAUGUCCUAUGAGUGAGUGCUUUUUUAUUCAUUGGCUUUCAACCCUGCAUGAGACUCGGCUCCUGUUUUAGUGUUUUAUGUUUUUUUUUUUUUUUUUUUUUUAUGUCUAUGCUUUUUUGUCUAUUUAUAUACAGCACUUUGGUUGGCUGUGGUUGUUUUAAAGUGCUUUACAAAUAAAGUUGAGUUUUACCCAUUUUUCCAGAACACUUCAAACUUUCAAUAUCUGGCUGUCAUUUACGAUUUACUGCCUGUUAAAAGAGUGCUAUAACAUUUUAAGAUAAAGAAAAACACAAAAACGGAAUACGAUUUUUUGAGUUUUAAUGAGAAAAAACAGAAAAUAUUCAUGAAAAACAGAUUUUUCAUUUGAAAUAAAAAAAAAUUAAAGAGUAUCAAACAUAUUUACAACAAAAACUUUGGAGUGCUGUCUCUCCAAGUGCAAAAACAGGCUAAAUAAAUACAACUAUGUCCACGCGUUUCUCCUCGUUUCUCCUCUCUCACUCAGAGGUCUUUGUGAAACUGUCAGAAGCUGUUCCUUUCUGUCUGCGGACACAGACCCACAUCACACCACUCACACUUCCAGGCAGUUCUCCUUAUGACAAAGUUUGCAGCGUCGUCUCCUCAUGCUAGUUCUUUGAGACUUCAUCUGUCCAUGGCUUGUUUGGGCACGUAGCUAUACUCUACUAUAAGCGAAGUGGAUGUAAUUCUCGGCGGGCAUGUGUUUCUCGGUACAACAUCAACGGUUGCAAAAUGAGAAAACGACGAGAAAACCGCCGAAGAUGAAGACUUGGUGGUAAGAAGAAAAGCAACGUCACUAACCUUUGAAGAUGAAGACUCGUUGAUUAAAAGAACGUCACUAACCAUAGAAGAUGAAGACUCGUUGAUUAAAAGAAAAGCAACGUCACUAACCAUUGUAGAUGAAUAUUCGUUGAUUAAAAGAAAAGCCACGUCACUUAUCUGUAAUUAUUUCGGUUACAAAAAGGAUGACGUCACCUAACACCUGUUCUGUGACGGCAGUGUCUUUCAUCUGUUUCCACAAUAACGUCCCAGCAGAACAAUAAAAACUAAAAAUAUCUCUAAGACAGACAGAAGCCAUUCUACUAACAUUCACUAAAAGAGGGAAGAUCAGUGCAGGUUAACUGUCCUCAAGAUUUCAGCAGAAAGUCAGAUUCAGAUCAUCUGCUAAAAAUUCCUCUAUUUUUUAAUAACGCUUAUAUAUCACAGGGUUGAACAACUUUGCAAUGUUAGUGUUUUCUAAUAUCAUGCUGUCUUAAUAGGCACACGUUACUACAAACUCACUGCCUUAGCAUGGUAUUCUAAUAAAGUCACAACAGGUUAUAAGUGUUGAUUUACUCAUAAAAUAACGUAAAUAAAUUAAAAACGACACAGAGAGCGCUUCAUUCAUCCAGAAACCAACACAGAAAACCAACCAGUCAAACUUUACCUUUCUCUGUCUGAAGUUGCUCUGAAAGCUUCUCCAUCUGUCCCAAAGUCGUCUGUAAACCUCAGUGGAGGUUUUCUCACUUGGGAGAGUUUAUCACAGACAUUUUCCUUUGAAAUAAUCCCUUUUUUGUCACUUUUCUCUCUUUUUGCUCCGUUUCUCUGCUCUGUUGUGUGUCUAUCCGCUGCUCCCUUUGAGAGGGGGAGAGGGGACGAGGAGACAGAUUUUCUCACUUCCCCAAACAGCAGGAGUGAAAUUACCGUAAUAACCGUUUAUUGACCGUGUGGCGCAACUUCUCAGCUUUCAGAAACCGUUGGAGAUUUUUUUUUGAUAGAACAAACUACCGCAAAGUUACGGUAAUUUAAAGAGCGCCUGUAUAAAGGUGUCGGCGCCGACGGACUGUGAGGAAAAGUCUGUGUGGAUGAAAACUCAGCUGACUGAUUUUCACAAAGACGUUUCAGUGUUGAGAAGUUUGGUUCAUUUUAUUUUUCUUCUCUUUCAGAUGAUGGCCUCCCGCAGGAGGUUUUAGAUGAACAUAAGAUCAGUCUGAAGAGGAGAUGUGAACGUGUGAAUGAAGGAAGUGAUGAAACAGGAAGUAGUCAAACCCUCCUCAACAGGAUCUUCACUGAGCUCUACAUCACAGAGGGACUGAGUGAAGAGGUGAACACCCAACAUGAGGUGAGACAGCUGGAGACUACUUCAAAGAUGAAGACCCUCCAUGACAUGCCCAUCAGGUGUCAUGAGAUCUUUAAAACCUUACCUGACCAACAGAAGAAGCUCAUCAGAGUGGUUCUGACCAACGGCGUGGCUGGUGUUGGAAAAACCUUCUCAGUGCAGAAGUUCACUCUGGACUGGGCAGAGGGUUUGGAGAACCAAGACCUCCAUCUGGUGGUCCUGCUUUCAUUCAGGGAGCUGAACCUGAUCAGAGAUGAGCGCUUCAGUCUUCUGAGUCUGCUCCAUGUUUUCCAUCCAACCCUAGAGAAGGUCACAGCAGAGACGCUGGCUGUCUGUAAACUUCUGUUCAUCUUUGACGGUCUGGAUGAAAGCAGACUGUCUCUGGAUUUCACAGACUCUGAGGUGGUGUCUGACGUCACACAGAAGUCUUCACUCAACGUUCUGAUAACAAACCUCGUCAAGGGGAACCUGCUCCCCUCAGCUCUCAUCUGGAUAACUUCUCGACCUGCAGCAGCCAAUCAGAUCCCUCCUUCACAUGUGGACAGGAUAACAGAAGUACGAGGCUUCACUGACGCCCAGAAGGAGGAGUACUUCAGGAAGAGGUUCAGAGAUGAAGAUCUGUCCAGAAGAAUCAUCCAACACAUCAAGUCCUCCAGGAGCCUCCACAUCAUGUGUCAGAUCCCGGUCUUCUGCUGGAUCACUGCGACAGUUCUGGAGGACAUGAUGAGAAGAAAGCAGAGAGGAGAGCUGCCCAAGACCCUGACUGACAUGUACUCACACUUCCUGCUGGUCCAGACUCAGAGGAAGAAGCAGAAGUAUGAAGGAGGACAUGAGACAAGUCCUCAGGAGCUGAUGGAUGCUGACAGUGACGUCCUCCUGAAGCUGGGGAGGCUGGCAUUGGAACAUCUGAACAGUGGAAACAUCAUGUUCUACCAAGAAGACCUGGAGCGGUGUGGUCUGGAUGUCUCAGAGGCCUCAGUGUACUCAGGAGUUUGUACAGAGAUCUUCAGAAGAGAGAGUGUGAUCUUCCAGAAAACUGUUUACUGUUUCGUUCAUCUGAGCGUUCAGGAGUUUCUGUCUGCAGUCUACAUGAUCCACAGUUUCACAACCAGGAACACAGAAGCUCUGAAGACUUUCCUAAGAAGCAACGAUGAUGAAGAUAAAAUGUCUUCUUCAGAGAUGGUUGACAGAUUUUUUCAAAACCUGGAUUAUUUUUUCUCAUCUCAGGAUGUCUUCCUGAAGAGUGUCAUGAUGAAAUCCCUUGUCAGUAAAAACGGUCACCUGGACCUGUUUGUUCGCUUCCUUCAUGGACUCUCUGUGGCGUCAAACCAGAGACUCUUAGGAGGUCUGCUGGGUCACACAGACAACAGUCCAGAAAUGAUCCAAACAGUCAUCAAGAACCUGAAGGAGAUGAACAGAGAAGAUAUCUCUCCUGACAGAAGCAUCAACAUCUUCCACUGUCUGAUGGAGAUGAACGAUCUGUCAGUUCAUCAGGAGAUUCAAGAGCUCCUGAAGUCAGGGAACAAAUCAGAGAAGAAACUCUCAGUGUUCCAGUGCUCUGCUCUGGCCUACAUGCUGCAGAUGUCAGAGGAGGUUCUGGAGGAGUUGGACUUAAAGAAUUAUAAAACAUCAGACCAGGGACGACGGAGACUGAUCCCAGCUGUGAGGAACUGCAGAAAGGCUGUGUGAGUCCAGGUUUUAUUCUCAGAAUAGUGUAAAUGAUCCCUGUAGUUCUUCUAAUGUCCACGUUACUGAUGAUGUUCUUCUUCAAAUAGAAAUCCACUCAAAUAUCAGGGAGGGGGUUUCUUCAGCAAAAACAUGAUCCUGGUGUCUAAAGUCCUGUUAGUCCAGGAUGAGGUCUACCCGUGGACCCCUGAGAACUUGUCCUAAUUGUGGAGGACCUCUUUGUUUUGAAUCGUGUCUGUAAUGAAUAAAGUGGAACUUUGAGGACAAAUCAGCGACCAUAUCUGAGGACACACAGAGGUCUUCUGAUGAUGGUAUCAGUCCAGAUCAACAUCUCAGUCAGUUGUGGUGAACUUGAGUUUGAAGAAGGUGUCUGCAGCUUCUUCCUGCUGGUUUUCAGGUUGGAAAUGAUGAAUCAGUUGUAAAUGAGGGUGUUGACAGCAUUGAUGGUGAAAAUAGAACUGGAUCAUUUUCUACACAGUGGCAGAACUGUCUUCAAAGAAAUGUUUUUAUCUGAACCAAACAGAGAAACAGGAGCUGCUGUGAUUUAGUGAGUCGUCUUCUGAUUGGUCAACAGUCAGUGCCUUACAUUAUAGCAGGAUGUCAACACUAAACACUGAGAGGAGCAUAAGUCAUGGAGUCAUUUGUCUUGAACAUCUAAACAGUUUUUUUUUUCUUCUAAACUUGGACUUCCUGUCUUCUCUCAUGGCUGUGGUCCUGAUAUUAGUAUCUGUCUGGUUAGAAACAGGCCGUCUGUCAAACCAAAGAUCAUGUUUGAGUUGUUUUUGGGGAAGAGAAACAUCAAAUAACCCUUUAAUAAAAUAUUGUUUGAUAUUUAUGUUGUUACAGAUUUUCUCUCUGUGGACUCUCAAAGACUCACUGUGAAGUUGUGGCCUCAGCUCUGAAGUCCAACCCCUCCCAUCUGAGACAUCUGGACCUGAGUAACAACGAGCUGAAGGAUUCAGGAGUGAAGCUUCUCUCUGCAGGACUGGAGAGUCCAAACUGCAGACUGGAGACUCUGAUGUGAGACACCAUUUCCUUCUGAUCUAACAAUAAGAUGUGACAGCUGCUGCCUUAGAUUUUUCUCUGUGGUUUUUCCAUCAACUUUGGUCGAGCAGUUUGAAUUUGUCGUUGUAAAACUUCGACACAGGAAGAAAAAUCUGACAUUUCAGAGUUGACUUUGAGGAGAACGAUGGAUGUAGAAAGGAAGCAGGAGAAAAUCAGUCCCACAAAUAUUACACAUGCUUGUAGAGGGCAGGAGCAGCACAGACUAAAGGCUGAUACUGAACUGAUCCACAGUUAAUGUGAUCACCAAUGAAUGAAUGAAGUGUCAGAGAAAUGAUGAGCUGCAGAUUGAAACCUGAAGAACAAAGUUAAUCCAACUCUGGAUAUUUCAUUUGGAAACUCUUGAAAACUUGAAUUUCUUCUUUGCUCAGUCGUGUUCAAAUGUAAAAACCAGAUCCAGAUUUGUCUGCAGUUUUCACUUCAGUUUGUUGAACAUGAACAUCAUCUUGUCCAGCUGGUCCAUAAAAACCUCUCUGAUCAAUGAUCUGUUGGUUUAUUUAAGAGUAGUUUGGCAGUUGUUGACAGCAGACGGACAGACCCCUGAAUAAACUCCUGACUGUUUUCAUCUUCAUGAAGAAUUCAGGACUACAAAAGAACCUUUGAGAUUUCUCACAGGAGUUUCUCAGGAUCUCACUAAAGUUUUCUGUUUCUGUAAAAUUUUCUUGACUGAUAAAUUCCUCUGGAUCUUCAAAAAGUUUAGAGAAGAUUUUACAAAGUUCCUGAAGAUCAACUCUGAAAAAGUUCUUCUUCCGUGUCCUUCAGGGUUCAAGAACAUUGAAUCAUUAAAAACAGGAACAGUUUCUUCAGAGGUUACAUGAUUUUUUUCUUUUUUCAGACUGUGACAGGUGUUUAUUAGUCUUUUUGACACGUUACAAUAAUGAGGAUAAAGUCAUGGACUAAACUUGGGCUCCCAGUUUCCUUGUUGUUGUUUCUUCAGCUAGCAUCAUUGUUUUCAUCACAGUUCUUAAAGUAAUAAUGAUGCUUCAUAAAUUCAGAGUCACAAAAAAACACCAAACAAACCAAAUCUGAAAAAAAUCCACUUUUUCAUCAAAUGAGUUUAAUCGGUCAGAACAUGAGGUUUGAGUUUUCAUGAGGAGGAAACGAGAAAGAUCUGCUCUGACAGUGAGAAACACAGACGCCUGAAUCUACACUGACAGACACACAAAUACAGACAGAGAGACACAGACAGAGAGACACAGACACAGACACACAAAUACAGACACACAGAGACACAGACACACAAACAGACUAACAGAGAUUUUCUUCUUCGUCUCUUUGCUGUGAUGACUGAAGUCACAAAAACAAAGUUUUCUUCGUCACUUUUAUGAUUGAACCAAAUAAGUUAAAGAACCAAACUCUCAGAUUUUCUUCUUCUCAAUAUUAUUUGAACCAUUUAGAUUUUUCUCCUGAUCAAUAUUCAAUGAUCAGAUUGAUCAGGUUCCUGUUUUGGCUCCACUGCCUCUUUUCUGCAGCUCAAUAACUGCUCAUAUGGUUUGAAAGGUUCCUGCAGUAAAACCCGAUUAGAGAGUGGACUAAAUGAAAUGUGAGUGAACUCAGCCAUCAGUGAAUCAAUGACAAAGUGAGAGGAAGAGUGGAUCUGUCUGCUGUCUGACCUUGUUGAUCCUGAUGAAGGUGAGGGAGAAGAGUAAAGCAGUAAAGGUGAUGUUGUUGCAGACAGAGUCAGCUGACCUGUCUCAUCAGAGUCUCAUCCAUUCUCUGUUUGGCAGAGCGCUGAUGUUACAGUCUGAGAGCACAUUCAGGUUCAGCUUCACAUGGGCUGGAUCUGCUCAAUACAAACUCUUGAGACCAGCCUGGUUGAGGGAGGUGGGCUCAGUGUCCUGGGUGACUCUCUCUGAGCUCUUCUUGGUUGAGAGUAUUUCUGGUUUGUCUCUGACUUCCAUGAACUCAGAUCUGGAGGAUUGCUGGCUGGUCCGGUCCAGUUCUGACAGUAGAGACAACACAGUCUGUUAUUCUGGGUUGAGUGUUCUUGUUGAAGAUCAGUGUACAGUGAGGGAUGAAGGCAGACAAAGAUCCUCCUGUUUCCUCCAUGUCACAGUUCAAGUUCAUUUUGAAGACUUUGAUUGAUACGAGCGCUGAAGAGGAACAGGAAACGUGGAGUAGAGAGUGAGGGAGGACUUACAGCAAAGGAUCAUGGGAGUCCAACCAGCAACUGCUGCAACAAGGACUCCACCUUCUGAUCAUCUGAACCUCUAAUCCAAACCAGUGCUCCAUCACAUUUGAUGUCUUGUCUGUUAUUUUACAUGGAGGGUCAGAGCAGACCAGAUCAUGAGCUCUGACAGACUGGAUCUGGUCCAAAGGUCUCCUGUUGGAGUUCUCUAAGCUCCAUAUUUUAAUCCUGAACACCUGAAGUUUGAUUAUUAAUUAUUUUUAUCUUCAUUCUCUUUCCUUUUUUCAGAUUGUAUAAAUGCAGUUUGUCAGAGAUCAGCUGUUCUUCUCUGGCCUCAGCUCUGAAGUCCAACCCCUCCCAUCUGAGAUAUCUGGACCUGAGUUACAACAAUCUGCAGGAUUCAGGAAUGAAGCUGCUGUGUGACUCUCUGCAGAGUCCAAACUGUAAACUGGAGACUCUGAGGUGAGACACCAUUUCCUUCUGAUCUAACAAUAAGAUGUGACAGCUGCUGCCUUAGAUUUUUCUCUGUGGUUUUUCCAUCAACUUUGGUCGAGCAGUUUGAAUUUGUCGUUGUAAAACUUCAACACAGGAAGAAAAAUCCGACAUUUCAGAGUCGACUUUGAGGAGAACGAUGGAUGUAGAAAGGAAGCAGGAGAAAAUCAGUCCACAAAUAUUACACAUGCUUGUAGAGGGCAGGAGCAGCACAGACUAAAGGCUGAUACUGAACUGAUCCACAGUUAAUGUGAUCACUAAUGAAUGAAUGAAGUGUCAGAGAAAUGAUGAGCUGCAGAUUGAAACCUGAAGAACAAAGUUAAUCCAACUCUGGAUAUUUCAUUUGGAAACUCUUGAAAACUUGAAUUUCUUCUUUGCUCAGUCGUGUUCAAAUGUAAAAACCAGAUCCAGAUUUUUCUGCAGUUUUCACUUCAGUUUGUUGAACAUGAACAUCAUCUUGUCCAGUUGGUCCAUAAAAACCUCUCUGAUCAAUGAUCUGUUGGUUUAUUUAAGAGUAGUUUGGCAGUUGUUGACAGCAGACGGACAGACCCCCUGAAUAAACUCCUGACUAUUUUCAUCUUCAUGAAGAAUUCAGGACUACAAAAAAACCUUUGAGAUUUCUCACAGGAGUUUCUCAGGAUCUCACUAAAGUUUUCUGUUUCUGUAAAAUUUUCUUGACUGAUAAAUUCCUCUGGAUCUUCAAAAAGUUUAGAGAGGAUUUUACAAAGUUCCUGAAGAUCAACUCUGAAAAAGUUCUUCUUCCGUGUUCCUUCAGGGUUCAAGAACAUUGAAUCAUUAAAAACAGGAACAGUUUCUUCAGAGGUUACAUGAUUUUUUUCUUUUUUCAGACUGUGACAGGUGUUUAUUAGUCUUUUUGACACGUUACAAUAAUGAGGAUAAAGUCAUGGACUAAACUUGGGCUCCCAGUUUCCUUGUUGUUGUUUCUUCAGCUAGCAUCAUUGUUUUCAUCUCAGUUAUUAAAGUAAUAAUGAUGCUUCAUAAAUUCAGAGUCACAAAAAAACACCAAACAAACCAAAUCUGAAAAAAAUCCACUUUUUCAUCAAAUGAGUUUAAUCGGUCAGAACAUGAGGUUUGAGUUUUCAUGAGGAGGAAACGAGAAAGAUCUGCUCUGACAGUGAGAAACACAGACGCCUGAAUCUACACUGACAGACACACAAAUACAGACAGAGAGACACAGACAGAGAGACACAGACACAGACACAGACACACAAAUACAGACACACAGAGAGACAGACACACAAACACAGACUAACAGAGAUGUUCCUCUCUGUCUCUUUGCUGUGAUGACUGAAGUCACAAAAACAAAGUUUUCUUCGUCACGUUUAUGAUUGAACCAAAUAAGUUAAAGAACCAAACUCUCAGAUUUUCUUCUUCUCAAUAUUAUUUGAACCAUUUUGAUUUUUCUCCUGAUCAAUAUUCAAUGAUCAGAUUGAUUAGGUUCCUGUUUUGGCUCCACUGCCUCUUUUCUGCAGCUCAAUAACUGCUCAUAUGGUUUGAAAGGUUCCUGCAGUAAAACCCGAUUAGAGAGUGGACUAAAUGAAAUGUGAGUGAACUCAGCCAUCAGUGAAUCAAUGACAAAGUGAGAGGAAGAGUGGAUCUGUCUGCUGUCUGACCUUGUUGAGCCUGAUGAAGGUGAGGGAGAAGAGUAAAGCAGUAAAGGUGAUGUUGUUGCAGACAGAGUCAGCUGACCUGUCUCAUCAGAGUCUCAUCCAUUCUCUGUUUGGCAGAGCACUGAUGUUACAGUCUGAGAGCACAUUCAGGUUCAGCUUCACAUGGGCUGGAUCUGCUCAAUACAAACUCUUGAGACCAGCCUGGUUGAGGGAGGUGGGCUCAGUGUCCUGGGUGACUCUCUCUGAGCUCUUCUUGGUUGAGAGUAUUUCUGGUUUGUCUCUGACUUCCAUGAACUCAGAUCUGGAGGAUUGCUGGCUGGUCCGGUCCAGUUCUGACAGUAGAGACAACACAGUCAGUUAUUCUGGGUUGAGUGUUCUUGUUGAAGAUCAGUGUACAGUGAGGGAUGAAGGCAGACAAAGAUCCUCCUGUUUCCUCCAUGUCACAGUUCAAGUUCAUUUUGAAGACUUUGAUUGAUCCGAGCGCUGAAGAGGAACAGGAAACGUGGAGUAGAGAGUGAGGGAGGACUUACAGCAAAGGAUCAUGGGAGUCCAACCAGCAACUGCUGCAACAACGACUCCACCUUCUGAUCAUCUGAACCUCUAAUCCAAACCAGUGCUCCAUCACAUUUGAUGUCUUGUCUGUUAUUUUACAUGGAGGGUCAGAGCAGACCAGAUCAUGAGCUCUGACAGACUGGAUCUGGUCCAAAGGUCUCCUGUUGGAGUUCUCUAAGCUCCAUAUUUUAAACCUGAACACCUGAAGUUUGAUUAUUAAUUAUUUUUAUCUUCAUUCUCUUUCCUUUUUUCAGAUUGUAUAAAUGCAGUUUGUCAGAGAUCAGCUGUUCUUCUCUGGCCUCAGCUCUGAAGUCCAACCCCUCCCAUCUGAAACAUCUGGACCUGAGUUACAACAAGCUGCAGGAUUCAGGAGUGAAGCUUCUGUGUGAAUUUGUGCAGAGUCCAAACUGUAAACUGGAGACUCUGAAGUGAGACUUUUUCCCUCCAUUCAAACAUGAUCAUGAUUUGUUUGUGAUGAUGACACUAAACUGCUGACUCAGGACUGAAAUACUGACCCAGACUGAACACCUUCAGUCCAGAGUAGAUUUUCUUCAUCAGUGGAUUAUUUGAUUGACUCCAGUUAGAUCACUGCUGAGCUCCAGUGAAUUAAAACCUGAACCCAAGAAGAAAACUCUUUGUAGAGUUCACAGUGAGAAGCUCAUUCAGACAGAAAACAGAAGCAGGGGGAGAUUUGUCAGAUGAGAACCAUUCAAACUUUUGUUCAGGACAAGAUCAGGGAAUAGAAAAAACUCAGAGUUUAGUUUCUGACACUGAUGAAAGUCCAGCUCUGUUACUUUGAAUUUUGUUUUUGAAUCUUUGUGUGAAAAUCUGAAUUUUCUGGUUUAUCUGCACUUUUCUGAAGCCUUACUGUGUUUAGACUGAAAUAUUUACCUCUCAAAGACGUGAAAUUUUUGGUUCAGCAAAGUGAAAAUAUUCUGAACAUCCUUUGUUUCCCAUCCGUCCUGAAGUCACUGACAUUUUCUGAAAAUAUUGAGCUGCAUCUACAAUCAGUAAAAAAGUCUCUGAGUUUUUUAUUUCACUAUUUAAUGUGUUUUUGAAUUCACUGUUUCAAACUGACUUCCUGUUUGGUUCAGCUCUUUGGAGCGUCACUUUUCUCUGAUUUAUACUUUCCAAACCUUUCCCCUGAACUCUACAGAUUUAAGACAUCAGGUUUCAAACUGGAUCAUUUUUCUCUAAAAUCUCAUUAUUUCCUCUUUAUUUAGGUUAAUGAGCUGCAGUUUGACGAAGAUCAGCUGUUCUUCUCUGGCCUCAGCUCUGAAGUCCAACCCCUCCCAUCUGAAAACUCUGUGGCUGUAUGGAAACAAUCUGCAGGGUUCAGACAUGAAGCUGCUGUGUGAUCUUCAGAAGAGUCCUGACUACAGACUGAGGACUCUGAAGUCAGUAUAGAGUUGGAGUUAGUCUGUGCUGAUCUCUCCUGUUCCUCUCCACACAGUAUCACAGCAGAUAUUCAGUAUUUCCUGCUGACUCUUCGACCCUCUCAGAGGAUUAUCUCUUUAGUGAAGCUGUGAGAACAGAAAUCAUCAAACCAGGAGUGUAAGAGUGUCAGUGAUGAAAAAAGUGUCUCCUCGUCUCUAUAUUUCAGAUCAAAUGUAGAAAUGAGACAUAAUGAAACAGAAAUGUUCAGUUUCUGCUCUGAAGUCCAGUUUAUAGUUCUCUGUAUUCAACACAGACUUUAUUUCUCUGCUAACUUGUUGAUUUUGAGCUCUAAGUCUGAAAACAGACAGCUGUUCUUUAUACUUGUUAUUUUCACAGCAGGUUUGUUCGAUCAGCUUUAACACAUUUGACAGGAAUGAUUUCUUUAUUUUGAUGAUGUUGGUUUAUUUGUGAGGAAACCUGCUGCUUUACACCAUCACUUCUGGUCUGAGCAGGACUGAGACCUGCUGGUCUGUAAACUGGAUGUUCUUCAGUCCAGCUGAUGAAGUGAGUCUCAGAGUGGAAACACUGAUCGUCUUUUUUUCUCUCCUCAGAUGGAGUUAACAUCUGUCAGAGUGAUUAAGAAGAGGAUCAUGUGUUUCCUGACGAUCAGAGAGGUGGAGGCAGCAGCAGUGAGGGUGAGGUGAGUCUCUGACUGAGAGACUGACUGACCAAUCACAGCGGGCGGAGAGGACUCUGGGAGCUGCACUUUGACCUGCUCUGAGAUCAGCUCAGGACCUGGACUCUGGAUAUUUGAUAUUUUCCCUCAUAUUCUGGGAUCAAACAGUCUGAACAGGUUUGUUUUGUUGAUGGAAACAUGAUCAUAAAUUUACACUUUGAUUGGAUUACUUUGUUUUCACCAUGAUGCAGCGCCACCCAGUGGAAAUAUAAAGAGGUGGAGUUGAUUUAUUCCCUCAUAUUUCUGCAGCAGGAGUUGAUACCAUGUGUGAGAGUAGAUCAGUCAGAAGUUCAGAUUAAACCCAAAGGUUUUUUCUUUCCUUUGCACCGUUACAGACCGAAUAUAAACUGAAGGGAGAGGAAGAGAAGUGAGGAGAGAUGGAGGUGAAGGGAGGAGGAGGACAGGGUUUGGGGUUUUAACAAAAAUCUGAAGCUUUAUUCUUUCACUUGAUUAUUUUUAUUCAUCCGUUUUCUUCUUCAUUUUCUGAAAUGAUUGUAAAUAUUGACUGGAGGUAAAUUUGUCUUAUUUAAUAUUAUUAGACACUAUUUUCCGUCUCUUUACAUGUUUUUGUUCUCAUAUCAUCUUUGUGCUCAUCAAUAAUCGAUUCCCUCCAGUUUGAACAAAUACAAUUAUUAAACCAUAAAUGAGACCUGAGAGUAAAAUUAAAAUGUGUGAAAUAUAAUCAGUCAAAAGAAAGAUUCUUGAACAAAAACAAAAUCAUUAUUUUUACUUUAUUAUGAUGGAGAAGUUUUCCUCUGACAGACAAAAAUAACCGUAUUGACUGGAGUCUGGAAAAAGUGAGAUCAGCAUCUAUUCAGGGUGAAGUCAUUAACGUGGUCGAUGCUGUUUUAUAAACUCAGUGUUGUUGAUUACAAUCUCAGCUUCAUAAACUGAUGCUACAGCUCAUGUCACAGUCUGCUCACACCACAGAAACAUUAAACAUAGAACUAUUGUGAACAGAUUUGUCCUCUUCAGCUAAUCUACUAUCAAUAGAUCUGUGCUCUGUCUGUGUAACACUAUGUUGGUUCUUCAUUUACUCCAGAUCAUUUUUUUAUGUCAUUUCACUGUAACAAUGUCAUUUAAAGAUAAUAAAAACUUUAUUUGAACUAAAACAUGUUAAAAACAUCAACUCAGCUUGUUUCAUUUACUGUGUGCAAUUGAUUAUUAUUAUUUUUCAUUCAAACAGAAACUAGAUUUGGUCUUUAAAAAGUCCUCAAAGUGAG